rnacentral:rRNA from 1 species
GACGGAGGGCGCAAGCGUUGUUCGGAAUUACUGGGCGUAAAGCGCGGGCAGGUGGUCCUUUAAGUCCUUUGUGAAAUCCCGGGGCUCAACUCCGGAUGUGCAGAGGAUACUGGUGGACUAGAGACCGGUAGAGGCGAGUGGAAUUCCUGGUGUAGCGGUGGAAUGCGUAGAUAUCAGGAAGAACACCUGUGGCGAAGGCGGCUCGCUGGGCCGGUUCUGACACUCAUCCGCGAAAGCGUGUGGAGCAAACAGG